rnacentral:rRNA from 1 species
AGUCGACGAUGAAUCUUCUAGCUUGCUAGAAGUGGAUUAGUGGCGCACGGGUGAGUAAUGCAUAGGUUAUGUGCCCUUUAGUCUGGGAUAGCCACUGGAAACGGUGAUUAAUACUGGAUACUCCCUACGGGGGAAAGUUUUUCGCUAAAGGAUCAGCCUAUGUCCUAUCAGCUUGUUGGUGAGGUAAUGGCUCACCAAGGCUAUGACGGGUAUCCGGCCCGAGAGGGUGAUCGGACACACUGGAACUGAGACACGGUCCAGACUCCUACGGGAGGCAGCAGUAGGGAAUAUUGCUCAAUGGGGGAAACCCUGAAGCAGCAACGCCGCGUGGAGGAUGAAGGUUUUAGGAUUGUAAACUCCUUUUGUUAGAGAAGAUUAUGACGGUAUCUAACGAAUAAGCACCGGCUAACUCCGUGCCAGCAGCCGCGGUAAUACGGAGGGUGCAAGCGUUACUCGGAAUCACUGGGCGUAAAGAGUGCGUAGGCGGGGUAAUAAGUCAGAUGUGAAAUCCUGUAGCUUAACUACAGAACUGCAUUUGAAACUGUUACUCUGGAGUGUGGGAGAGGUAGGUGGAAUUCUUGGUGUAGGGGUAAAAUCCGUAGAGAUCAAGAGGAAUACUCAUUGCGAAGGCGACCUGCUGGAACAUUACUGACGCUGAUGCACGAAAGCGUGGGGAGCAAACAGGAUUAGAUACCCUGGUAGUCCACGCCCUAAACGAUGGAUGCUAGUUGUUGCCUUGCUUGUCAGGGCAGUAAUGCAGCUAACGCAUUAAGCAUCCCGCCUGGGGAGUACGGUCGCAAGAUUAAAACUCAAAGGAAUAGACGGGGACCCGCACAAGCGGUGGAGCAUGUGGUUUAAU